ensembl:processed_transcript 2500004C02Rik RIKEN cDNA 2500004C02 gene
UUUUUUUUUGAACAAAAACAAACCGAAAGGGUGGCUGGGAUUUGUAGUCCUCACUGGCUUCCUGGCCUACCCCUCUCCGGAAGAAAAUGGCUGCCUCAAGUGCUUGGACCACAUUUCCCGGAGUGCCCCGGGCUCCUGUUUUCCGCCCACUUUCUUCCGUACCCCGCUGCGCUCCAAGCACGGUGACCUUUGAAAGUUAACAGGGGUGCCAUGGGCUGAGUAAGAUAAACGGAACUGCUGUUCAACCCCGCCCAGUCUGGGGAUGAGUCAUUGUUUUCAAAUUUAUGAACAAAGCACACAAAUUAAGAAUAAUACAAGCAAGAAACAGCAGAGAGACACAAAAGGACAUAGAAUCCCUGAUCCUCACUGUGAUCUGGUAACACUAGUUCUAGGGCUGGAGAGAGAGAUGCUCAGGGCAAGUGCUCUUACAGAGAACAUGAGUUCAAUUCCCAGAACCCACAUGGUACCUCACAACUGCCUAUUUCAUACAUGUGGGGCAGAACACCGAUACACAUACUUUUUUUUUUAAGAAUUGAAAAAAAAAAAAAAAUUGGUUCUGGACUCCAGUGGGUCUGAGUUUGAAACCGUAGCUGUUCUCCAGUUGUGUGGCCUUGAAUAAGUUAUGCAACUUCAUCAACCAAGCACUGUCAUUGGACAGCAGAGAAUAUGACAAAAGUCAACGGGCGAUCUGAACAAGUGGCACAUGCUUGCAUACUUGGAUGACACAGUUCGAGAAGCACUUGAACCCUGAAGUUUACAAACAGCCUCGAUAACACAGGAAGACCCCAUCUCAGAAGAAUAGAUGAGAUCACUAUUUCUCAGCUUCAGCAUUGCAGAUGAUCAGCUAAUGUGGAACUCUCCAGCCCCUUUGCACAUUGCAUUUCUUUGCAUGGCUUUUGGUUGGUAACUAUACAUUUGGCAUCUGUUUGGAUUUUUUUUCUGUAUACCCCAAAUGCCAGCCAUAGUCUUGGGCAUAUAGUAGGCAGUCAAACUGUUGGUGUAUGAACCAUUCUCAGUAAUUCUUUUGUUGUAGACAGUCUCUGAGGAAUUAUCCCCUAUUGAAUGGUCUCAUAACAGUUUUGGAAAGCGCUCAUGUAGGGAAAAAACUAAGAUAAGAUUUUACCCAGGAAGGUCUCCACAAGUGCAAAGUAGAGACUUCAGGACAUUCCCAGUCUCGUUGUGUUGCCAAAUCUACCCUCACAAUGCAUGACUUAACUCAUAAAUCCUGGGCCAGUCACAGUUUUUUAAAUUCUACUCUUUAGUCUCCCAUGCUCUGGAGAAGGUAUUUAAAUUGCCAAAAUGUUUAACAAUAGUUCUCUAGGUUUUAUAAGACUAGUUAGUUUACUGGUAAUUUUUCUGUACAAAAAAAUUGCAUUGGGNNNNNNNNNNNCUGGUGAGAUGGCUCAGUGGGUAAGAGCACCCAACUGCUCUUCUGAAGGUCUGAAGUUCAAAUCCCAGCAACCACAUGGUGGCUCACAACCAUCCAUAAUGAGAUCUAACUCCCUCUUCUGGAGUGUCUGAAGACAACUACAGUGUACUUACAUAUAAUAAAAAUAAAUAAAUCUUUAAAAAAAAUACUUGCUAAAAAAUUGCAUUAUUUUAACUUUAAAAGUUUUUACUUCAAAAACAAUAAAACAUUUAAAGUGGCAGUUAUAAUAGUGAUAUAGUAAAUAUAUUUUUUCUGUCACAUCUUCCAAAUCUAGAAUGUGUGCUCCAUUAUGAUGUAAAAGUAAAGUUUCAUUAAUAUCAGCCAAUAGUGGAAGAACAUCUUUAAUAAUAGAUUCAUCUUCCCACUUUGGUGGACCUGUAGAGUGGCCUCAAAGGGAGACUUAAGCUGGUUUUUAUCAAAAUUUUGGGACAUGACAUUUCCUGACAGAAUAAAGUUUUCUGGUAGAAAUUUCC